GAUGAACGCUGGCGGCAUGCCUAAUACAUGCAAGUCGAACGAGAGGAAGGAAAGCUUGCUUUCCUGAAUCUAGUGGCGAACGGGUGAGUAACACGUAGGUAACCUGCCCAUGUGCCCGGGAUAACUUCUGGAAACGGAUGCUAAAACCGGAUAGGUAGCAGACAAGCAUUUGACUGCUAUUAAAGUGGCCUUGGCCAUGAACAUGGAUGGACCUGCGGUGCAUUUGCUAGUUGGUGAGGUAACGGCCCACCAAGGCGACGAUGCAUAGCCGGCCUGAGAGGGCGGACGGCCACAUUGGGACUGAGACACGGCCCAAACUCCUACGGGAGGCAGCAGUAGGGAAUUUCCGCCAAUGGGGGGAACCCUGAACGAGCAAUGCCGCGUGAGUGAGGAAGGUCUUCGGAUCGUAAAGCUCUGUUGUAAGAGAAAAACGGCACUCAUAGGGAAUGAUGAGUGAGUGAUGGUAUCUUACCAGAAAGUCACGGCUAACUACGUGCCAGCCGCCGCUGUAA
rnacentral:rRNA from 1 species